CCACAUACGUAAUAUUAACUUUUGUCAAAUACUAAAUCUGUUGUCAGAUCUGGCCUUAUCUUCUCGCUGCCUGGAUCCAAACCCUAGCCUAGCCUAGCCGCCUCUCUCUCCUGCUCCUCUCCUCUCCUCAGAUCUCCGACCACCACCACGGAAGGAUCCAUGGGCUCACCCUUCCUUCCUUGCAACCAACCCCCUGCCACCGUGCACCCUUCUUCCAUGGCGAUGGCGAUGGCGAGAGAGAUGGAUCUAGCCCCGCCGAAUCGAGACGCAUACCCGCCUCGCUGGCCGGACGGCAGCAACGUACCUCCCCUCACCCCGUCCAUGUCCAGAUGGGAAACAGCACGGUGGCGACCGGAGACUCUCACGGCGCUUGUUCCUCUUAUGGAUGGAUGGGUGACAGGGUAUGUCCCACCACUUCGGCAAGAUGGAUUUGCUUGUGUUUUAGAGGCCGUAUGCUCUGUGAAGGCCUCCAGCUCUGUUUUGUCUGAUGCAAAGCAACUUCCUUGAUCCUGGUAUGAAGGUGUACAAAUCUUGCCCAUGAACCCACUCUUCUUGGGUUCCAGCCAAAGCUGGGGCGUCCCAAGGUCCAUAGCUAGGCUAGGCUGUCCACAAAAUGAAUGGAGGGUGUGAAUGGCUCGGGCAGAUAAAAUAUAAUGUCCAGCAGCACAGGAUGAACUGUUAUGCAACACACCACUACACAAGGUAAAGUAAUACUCCCUCCGUCCGAAAAUACUUGUCGGAGAAAUGCAUAAAAAUGAAUGUAUCUAGAACUAAAAUACAUCUAGAUACAUUCAUUCCUCCGACGAGUAUUUCCGGACGGAGGGAGUACUACAGGAAAGGAUUACACUUUACUUGCUGUCGGGUGGUAUAUGAUACAUCAUACCUGUAGUGGUGGGGCACAUAUGAUUCUGUGCAUUGAUUAGUAUUCUGGUUUGCUAUCUCGAGACUACUUUUAGUGCCUAAUGCCUAUGGUUCUUAGUUAUUACUCCCUCCGCUCCAUAAUAUAGUGCCUAUAGAUUUUUUGAGAAGUCAAACUUUGACCAAGUUUGUAGAGAAAAAUAUUUAUAUCUAUAAUAGCAAAAAUAUAUAAUGUGAAACUACAUCUUAUGAUGAAUCUAGUGAUAUAUGUUUCGCACUCUAGACGUAAAUAUUUUUCUCCACAAACUUGGUCAAAGUUUUGUGAAGUUUGACUUUUCAAAAAAUCUAUAGGCACUACAUUAUGGAACGGAGGGAGUAGUACUCGCAAUUUAUAUUUGACGAGGUGUAUACCAUGUUAAGCUAGCGGCUAUAAAAGUUUUGCUAAUUUUAUCACAUAACCUUCAGGUUACAUAUGCAGUUUCCAUAAAUAAAACCUGAUGUGUAAAUCAUUUGUUGUGCAAGUAUCUAAAUUCGUAGUGAUGGAGAUUUUCGAAGCAAAUCAAAGGCUGGCUGGCUACCUUUCCCUUUAGUGUCCCCUUAGCACAUUGAGCACUCUACUGAUGACUGGCCCAACGCUUCACCUGAAAAAAUAAAUGAAAAAUGGCGUCAAGUAAUGAUGCAGGUCAGCUUUUUGCAGCAAUGCUUCAAGGAGAAUUGGUUGAGGGAAGUAUCAUCAGCUACUCACGAGAGCUCCGAUUCUUAGGCCCUUGACCCUGAUCCCCAUGUUAGCAAUCUCAUUGCGUCUGGUUGAACUUUGCUUUAAAUCAAGUCUGCACAGGAGAGGGAAAUUCUGUAAAAAUGGUUGUUUGUAUGUUUGUAAAUCUUGCAAUUUUCAUUUUAUUUUGCACUCGUCUACGUACUUGUGCUCUCGGACAUGUGAUUCCAUUUGGGGCAUGGGCACGGUUUCAUUGCAG
rnacentral:rRNA from 1 species